rnacentral:rRNA from 1 species
UAGGGAAUCUUCCGCAAUGGGCGAAAGCCUGACGGAGCAACGCCGCGUGAGUGAUGAAGGUCUUCGGAUCGUAAAACUCUGUUAUUAGGGAAGAACAAAUGUGUAAGUAACUAUGCACGUCUUGACGGUACCUAAUCAGAAAGCCACGGCUAACUACGUGCCAGCAGCCCCGGUAAUACGUAGGUGGCAAGCGUUAUCCGGAAUUAUUGGGCGUAAAGCGCGCGUAGGCGGUUUUUUAAGUCUGAUGUGAAAGCCCACGGCUCAACCGUGGAGGGUCAUUGGAAACUGGAAAACUUGAGUGCAGAAGAGGAAAGUGGAAUUCCAUGUGUAGCGGUGAAAUGCGCAGAGAUAUGGAGGAACACCAGUGGCGAAGGCGACUUUCUGGUCUGUAACUGACGCUGAUGUGCGAAAGCGUGGGGAUCAAACAGG